rnacentral:rRNA from 1 species
AACGAACGCUGGCGGCAUGCCUAACACAUGCAAGUCGAACGAGACAUUCGGGUCUAGUGGCGCACGGGUGCGUAACGCGUGGGAACCUGCCCUUAGGUUCGGAAUAACUCCCCGAAAGGGGUGCUAAUACCGGUUAAUGUCUUCGGACCACAGAUUUAUCGCCUUUGGAUGGGCCCGCGUUGGAUUAGCUAGUUGGUAGGGUAAAAGCCUACCAAGGCGACGAUCCAUAGCUGGUCUGAGAGGAUGAUCAGCCACACUGGGACUGAGACACGGCCCAGACUCCUACGGGAGGCAGCAGUGGGGAAUAUUGGACAAUGGGCGAAAGCCUGAUCCAGCAAUGCCGCGUGAGUGAUGAAGGCCUUAGGGUUGUAAAGCUCUUUUACCCGGGAUGAUAAUGACAGUACCGGGAGAAUAAGCUCCGGCUAACUCCGUG